CUUGCUAAGUUUGAUGGCGACCGGCGCACGGGUGAGUAACACGUAUCCAACCUGCCGAUGACUCGGGGAUAGCCUUUCGAAAGAAAGAUUAAUACCCGAUGGCAUAGUUCUUCCGCAUGGUGGAACUAUUAAAGAAUUUCGGUCAUCGGUGGGGAUGCGUUCCAUUAGGUUGUUGGCGGGGUAACGGCCCACCAAGCCUUCGAUGGAUAGGGGUUCUGAGAGGAAGGUCCCCCACAUUGGAACUGAGACACGGUCCAAACUCCUACGGGAGGCAGCAUG
rnacentral:rRNA from 1 species